CUCUGACGAAUCAUUUUCCAAGUCAAUUUUUGUAUCUAGCUCAAGAACUUGAAUUUUUUCUUCUAGGCCUACCACACUUUCGGUCUCGACCGAAAAAAUAGGUGGCUUUUGUUCUUCGGCCAAAUUAACAAUUUUCUUAGACCGAUGUCUGAUUACGGCCGAAGCGAAAAAUUGCCCCCCGGCCUUUGGGCCUAACCAUUUUUCAAAUGGAAUUGAUCUGUAGUCGGAAACGUAAGGAAAAUUUUCUUCAUCUAGCCAGACAUUAAAUC
rnacentral:lncRNA from 1 species